AAAAGCCUGCAGGGGGAGCCAUUUGGCUGAGAGUGAACAUAUUUAUUUGUUCUUACCCUUUGAACCUGUUAGUUAAUACUAGCGUAGGGAUCGUGACUUUUUGAUGG
rnacentral:ncRNA from 1 species